rnacentral:lncRNA from 9 species
GAGGGAAGGGCCGCUCGAGGACGAGGAGCCCCUGACAUUGCCCACCUGCUGCUUGGUGUCAGCACUCCCAGGCUGAGGGUUGGGGUUGGAGACGGCACUGGUGGAACCCCGAGGACGUGACCCAGUGAGGAGAGGGGAGUGACCGGUUGCUUCUGACUCUCGGUCCAAAAUGCAUCUCCUGGAGUUCCCAUCGUGGCUCAGUGGUUAACGAAUCCAACUAGGAACCAUGAGGUUGCAGGUUCGAUCCCUGGCCUUGCUCAGUGGGUUAAGGAUCCGGCGUUGCCGCGACCUGUGGUGUAGGUCGCAGACGCAGCUCAGACCCCACAGCAACGCAGGAUCUGAGCCAAGUCUGCAACCUAUACCACAGCUCAUGGCAACACCAGAUCCUUCAGCCACUGAGCAAGGCCAGGGAUCGAACCGAAUCCGCAGUCUCAUGGUUCCUAGUCAGAUGCGGUAACCACUGAGCCACGACAGGAACUCCUGAGGCUGAUGUAAUUGACAUCCAGGUACCUGACGUGGAGUGGGUUCGGCUCAUGACUAACCGGAGUGCUGAGGGAUAGGAGGGGACGGAGUGCCCAGGCUGAUUUUGUGAGAGACAUCUCCCCCUUUCCUGGAAGGUGCUUGGUCGUUCUUAGAGGGCGAGGAGAAAUUACAUCGGAUCUGAGGUUCACAAGCCCGGAGCAGCCCCUGGCUUUGUUCAGGAGGCAGGAGGAAGGGCUCUGAGUUGUUAUUAGAGGGCGUGGCCACCAGAGGGCGCCAAAGUGCCAGCCAAGCCCAGCAGCUGCUUGGGGUUGGCACUUGCAGGCUCAGAGAUGGGAAGGAUGGGUGGAUCCUUCAGGAGGUGUCUGGCGAGGAGGAGGCUUAGGUUCCAGGCCGCCCCCAACUCUCCAGGCUAAAUUACCUCGCCUGCCAGGAAAGACCUUGUUCUGCCUUCCCAUCUCUGGGUCGCUUUCAGACAGCUGGGGUAGCCCAAAGUCCAGGCACGUGGACACACUGUCAAAAGCGCUAAGUGCCUUUGGAUACUCAGAGGCAGGAAACACAGCCUCACAGCUGCUGGCUUGGCUGCUGGGCAGGCACUGCUCCAGGACAAGGCCUGCCCCAUGUUUAGCAUCUGGGACCUGGGCAGGUGGGUGGUGGUGAAUGGAGAGUGGCAAAGCCAAGGUUCCUUGGUGGGCAGGCUGCAUCCAUCCCAAAGAGACUGGUGUCUUGUGAGUUCCCUGAACAGUUCCGUCAGUUUCUUCCAUCUGCGCAUCUCCCUUCCUUCUUUCACUCCUAAGGGAAAAACUUACCUCAAGCCAGGUCACAUAAAUUCAGAGGGGAGGCUGAUGGAAUUGGCAUCCAGUUGCCAGACUUGGACUGAUUUUUGGCUGAUGACUGACCAGAGUGCUGAGGGGUGGGGAGGAGGGAAUGGCCCGGCUAAUGUUGUGAGAGGAAUCCCCCCUUCCUGGAAGGUGCUUGGGAAAGUAGGAAUUACAUCAGAUCUGAGCGUCCCAAGCCCAAGGCAGCCCUACCGGUUUGUUCAGGAGGAAGGGCUAUGAAUUAUUAAUAGAGAACCUGGCCGCCAGACGCACAAAAGUGCCUGCCAAGGCCAGCAGGUACUUGGAGUUGGCACCUCAGGGCUCAGAGAUGGGGAUGGGUGGGUCCCUCAGGAGGUGUACGGUUUGGAGGAGUAGGAUUCAAACGGCCCCUGACUCUCCAGUCUGAAUUACCUCCCCUGACAGGAAGGACCUUGUUCUGCCUUCACAUCUCUGGGCCACUUUCAGCCGGAUCAGGUAGCCCAAAGUCCAGAUACGUGGAUAGGUUGUCAAAAUUCCUAACUGCCUUUGCAUUGUGCAGAGGCAGAAAACUGAAGCCAGGGGUAGGUGGCUUGGCUACUGGGAAAGCAGGGUUCCAUGAUCAGGCCUGCCCCGUGUUUGGCAUCUGGAAUGAUGGGAGGGCAGGCCAGUGGUGGUGAACAGGCAGUGGAAAAGCAGAGGUUCCUUGGUGGGCAGGCUGUGUACAUCCCAGGGACCUGUCUCUUGGGAGUUCUCUGAAAACUUCCUUCUUUUUCUUCCAUUUGAUCCUGUCCCUCCUCUGGCACACCCUGCAGUGAGAAUCUUACCUAAAUCCAGGUCGCAUAAAAUCAGGGGUGGCUAAGGGAGAUAGAGGUGGGGAAAUGAUUUAAAGCCAGUUUCCUGACUCUUGGUGUGUCCAUCUGAUCGACAUCAAGGGCUGCUGACAGAUGGGGAGCAGUGAGGGCUAUGGGAGUCUUUGAGAAAGACCACCCUCUGUGAGCCCCUUGAUUUUUUCUGAGAAAUGGAGGAGGACCAAAUUAGUAAAAGAGCCUUAGCUAAUUCUAAGGUCAUGUGUUUUAAGGCUGGCAGUUGGGUUUCCAGCUGGUGACCUGACUUGAAGUGGGAUCAAUCGAUUGAUUGACAUGGAGUAUCAGUGCUGGAACGGAGGAAGGAGUGCCUUGGGAGGCCUUGAGGGAGAGAUACUGCCCUCUGUCAGGCGGCACAUUGUGGUUCUUAAAGGGAGAGCAGGUAGGAAAUUAACUCUCAGGUGCGCAAACCUAGUGCCCUCUGGCCAUGUGUGUGUUCAGGAUGCUAGAGGCAGGGCUCUGAGUUGUUAUUAGAGAGCAUGGCCACCCGAGGGCGCUAGAGCACCAGCAGAGAUCAGCAGCUGCUUGAUCCUGGCAUGUGCCAGCACAGAGCCAGGGUUGGGACGUGCCUAGCAAGCAGGGCAAGGUUCCAGAUCUCCUCUGACUCCCAGUCUCAAUGACCCACCUGAGAGAAAUUACAUUGUUCUACCUUCCUGUCUGUGGGUCACUUUCAGCCACCUCCGAAGUCCAGACACUUGGACAGGCCAUCAAGGAUUGCAGCUGCCUUGAGAUUCUGCAGCACAGAAAACUGAAGGCAGACUUAGCUGGCUUGGGUACUAUGCAAGCUGGGUUCCAGGAUCAGUUCUGCGCCAUGUUUGGCAUCUGGAAAGCUGGGCAGGUGGUGGUGAACGGAAAAUGGAAAAGGUGAGAUCCCCUAUUGGGCAAGGUCCAUCCACACUGGAGACCUGUCUCCUGAGGGUUCUCUUAAAAGUUCUUUCUCAGGCUCUGAGUUCUUGAUCAGUGCUCCCAGCCCCUCUGAUCAAUAAAUCUUGCUUGAGAUGUCACUGCUCUGGUCAACUGUCUAUUUCCCCAAUGCUCUACAAUACUAAUAUAGAGCCAAAUGAAUUUUCACACUAAUUUUUUAACUUCUUUCAGCACUUACAAUUCUGUCUAUCCAUGCAAUUUCACAAAGAUUAUUGAGAGAUGUAAAUACACAAUAAAAAUGAAAUUGGAGUUCCCGUUGUGGCACAGUGGAAACAAAUCCAACUGGUAUCCAUGAGGAUGCAGGUUUGAUCCGUGGCCUUGCUCAGUGGGUCGGGGAUCUAACGUUGCCCUGAGCUGCGGUCUAGGUCACAGAUGUAGCUAGGAUCCCAUGCUGAGGUGUAGGCUGGCAGCUGCAGCUCCAAUUUGACCCCUGGCCUGGGAACUUCCAUAUGCUGCAGGUGCAGCCCUUAAAAAUAAUAAAAAAAUUUUGAAAAUAAGAAAUGUUCCUUUAAUUUCUUCCAUCUGAUCCUCUCCCUUCUUUCAUUUACCCCUAAGGGAUAAUCUUACCUCAAUGCAGUUCACAUAAAUUAAUUAGUUGGCACUUUGAGUCAAAGAUGGGGUUGGAGAUGGGAGUGGGUGGAGCCACCACCACCUACAAGGUGUCCGUCAAGGAGGGGUAGGUUUCAGGCUGCCUCUGACUCUCCAGACCAAAUUGGCUCACCCAGUAAAAGGCAAAUGGUUCUGUCUUCCACACACUUGGGUCACUUUCAUUCAGCUCAGGUAGCCCAAAGUCCACACCACUGGCCUGGUAGUCGGGGGUCUGACUGCCUUUGGAUUCUCCAGAAGUAGAAUUCUAGACCCACGGGCAGUUGGCUUCAGUAUUCGGCAUGCAGAUUUCAGAGCCUGGCUUUCAUGGUAUUUACCUAGGAGAGCUGGGCUGCUGGUCAUGAAUGGCGAGUGGAAAAGCUGAGAACCUUUGGCCAGGCUGCAUCCAUCCUGGAAACCUAGCCCUGGAAAGGGUUCUCUGAUGAGUUCCUUAUUUUUCUUCCAUUGAAGCCUUUCCCUCCUUUUGUACACUGUGAGAAAAAAAUCUUACCUCAAGUCAAGUCGUAGAGAUAAGAGGGGAGCCAGAUAAAGACUGAUUCAUUUACGUCCAGUUACCUGAUGUGGAGUGGGUUUGGCUCAUGAACUAAGAGCAGUGCUGAAGGAUAGGGAGCAGUGAGGGUCAGGGCUGACUUUCAAAAAGAAUUACACCUCCCCUUCUUGGAAGGCACUCAUUUGUUCUAAGAAUGAGAGAAUUAAAUAGGCUCUGAGGUACACAAGCCCAGCGCAGUCAGUCCAUAGGUUUUUUCAGGAGGCCGGGUUAAAUGCUCUGAGUUUUCAUUAGGGAUAAUGGUCAGCAGUGGGCACCAUAUAACCAGCAGAGCCAAGCUGCUCUUGGAUUUGGCAUUUCCCAGCUCAAAGCCAGGAUUUCAUAUAAGAGUGGUGGAUCCCCCAGAACCUGCUUAGUGAGCAGGGCAGGCAUAGGUUACAGGUCACCUCUGACUUAAUAGUUUAAAUAACCUCACCUGAGAGCAAGGACACUGUUCUACCUUUGCCUGUGUAGGGCUCUUUCAGACAACUCGAGUAGCAUAAAGUCCAGAUGAUUGGAUGGCUUAACAAAAGGUCUAACUGCCUUUGGAUUAUGAAGAGGCAGAAAUAUGAACCCAAAAGUGGCCUUGGGCUCUUGCCAGAGAGACUUCCUCACUCCUCUCCCUCUUAGAGCACUGAAAUGCAUGAUGGGUGGUGGUAUAACUAUCUCCACAUCGGCCAGGGCACUCAUCCCCCGACACCCUCCCACUCACUGAAACCAGACAUCCCACUCAUCAAGUCAAGAUUGCUGGCAGCCAAUCAAUCAGCACGCUUUGACCCAGACACCCAGCUUGAAAUUAAGGACUUUCUGAGAUUUAUUCAAUUUACCUGGAUUUUGGUAGGUUCCUUGGCACAAGUAUCUGGCACAGGAGGAGGAGGCUCUGGUGGAGAGGGAAGGAGGAGGAUGUGUAGAUCACUGGAAAGAAAGCAGAGGGGAGUUCCCGUCAUGGCUCAGUGGUUAACGAAUCCGACUAGGAACCAUGAGGUUGCAGGUUCAGUCCCUGCCCUUGCUCAGUGGGUUAACAAUCUGGCGUUCCCAUGAGCUGUGGUAUAGGUUGCAGACGCGGCUUGGUUCCCGCGUUGCUGUGGCUCUGGCAUAGGCCAGCAGCUACAGCUCUGAAUAGACCCCUAGCCUGGGAACCUCCAUAUGCCACAGGAGCGGCCCAAAGAAAUAGCAAAAAGACAAAAAAAAAAAAAAAAAA